GACAACUCGACAGGACCUCAGCGUCAGGAACAUAUUUGUAGCAAAAAGUGAAGUUUUGGAUGUAAGUGGCCACAUAUAUAUAAGGCCCUUCGAUGGUCGAGAUAAAAGCACACCGAGCGAGGACUUCUUGGAUGUCGACACGUGGCAGCAUCAGGAUCCUUUCUCGAUCCGACGGUUCGACGCACCUGCCCUCUGAUCAAGCCACGUCGCCUUCAUCCACGUGAACGGUUCCGGCCC
rnacentral:lncRNA from 1 species